UACGGAGGGGGCUAGCGUUGUUCGGAAUUACUGGGCGUAAAGCGCGCGUAGGCGGCUUUGUAAGUUAGAGGUGAAAGCCCGGAGCUCAACUCCGGAACUGCCUUUAAGACUGCAUAGCUAGAACGUCGGAGAGGUAAGUGGAAUUCCGAGUGUAGAGGUGAAAUUCGUAGAUAUUCGGAAGAACACCAGUGGCGAAGGCGACUUACUGGACGACUGUUGACGCUGAGGUGCGAAAGCGUGGGGAGCAAACAGG
rnacentral:rRNA from 1 species